rnacentral:rRNA from 1 species
UGGGGAAUUUUGGACAAUGGGGGAAACCCUGAUCCAGCCAUCCCGCGUGUGCGAUGAAGGCCUUCGGGUUGUAAAGCACUUUUGGCAGGAAAGAAACGUCAUGGGUUAAUACCCCGUGAAACUGACGGUACCUGCAGAAUAAGCACCGGCUAACUACGUGCCAGCAGCCGCGGUAAUACGUAGGGUGCAAGCGUUAAGCGGAAUUACUGGGCGUAAAGCGUGCGCAGGCGGUUCGGAAAGAAAGAUGUGAAAUCCCAGAGCUCAACUGUGGAACUGCAUUUUUAACUACCGGGCUAGAGUGUGUCAGAGGGAGGUGGAAUUCCGCGUGUAGCAGUGAAAUGCGUAGAUAUGCGGAGGAACACCGAUGGCGAAGGCAGCCUCCUGGGAUAACACUGACGCUCAUGCACGAAAGCGUGGGGAGCAAACAGG